rnacentral:rRNA from 1 species
AGUGAACGCUGGCGGUAGGCCUAACACAUGCCAGUCGAACGGCAGCACAGUAAGAGCUUGCUCUUACGGGUGGCGAGUGGCGGACGGGUGAGGAAUACAUCGGAAUCUACUUUUUCGUGGGGGAUAACGAAGGGAAACUUACGCUAAUACCGCAUACGACCUACGGGUGAAAGCAGGGGAUCUUCGGACCUUGCGCGAUUGAAUGAGCCGAUGUCGGAUUAGCUAGUUGGCGGGGUAAAGGCCCACCAAGGCGACGAUCCGUAGCUGGUCUGUGAGGAUGAUCAGCCACACUGGAACUGAGACACGGUCCAGACUCCUACGGGAGGCAGCAGUGGGGAAUAUUGGACAAUGGGCGCAAGCCUGAUCCAGCCAUACCGCGCGGGUGAAGAAGGCCUUCGGGUUGUAAAGCCCUUUUGUUGGGAAAGAAAAGCAGCAGGUUAAUACCCCGCUGUUCUGACGGUACCCAAAGAAUAAGCACCGGCUAACUUCGUG